rnacentral:rRNA from 1 species
AGGCGGCGUGCCUAACACAUGCAAGUCGAAACGAGAAAGUUGGGCUUCGGCCGGAUGAGUAAAGUGGCGCACGGGUGAGUAACGCGUGGAUAAUCUGCCCUUUAGUUUGGUAAUAACGUACCGAAAAGGUUGCGCUAAUACCGGAUAAUACUGAAUGACUACUGUCGUUUAGUCAAAGAAGGCUUCUGUUUACAUGCUUUUGCUGAAGGAUGAGUCCGCGUACCAUUAGCUAGUUGGUAGGGUAAUGGCCUACCAAGGCGACGAUGGUUAGCUGGUCUGAGAGGAUGAUCAGCCACACUGGAACUGAGACACGGUCCAGACUCCUACGGGAGGCAGCAGUGAGGAAUAUUGCGCAAUGGGGGCAACCCUGACGCAGCAACGCCGCGUGAGUGAGGAAGGUUUUCGGACCGUAAAGCUCUGUCGAGCGGGAAGAAAUGCAUGGUGGCUAAUAUCCAUCAUGCUUGACGGUACCGCUAAAGGAAGCACCGGCUAACUCCGUG